CGGGAGCACUGCAUCCACAUUCCCCGCUGCGAGCAAACAGCGUACGGCACGACCAGUCUGUCUUCGGAGAAGUCGCGCGCGAAAUGGAACGGAACCAGAGGAAUGUCCGGACGCUACUUCGAAAACGUGGGUCGAAUGAUGCUUCUCGGUCGUUCACGAGCGGUUGAUUCGAUUCAAACCAUGUUUUCUUUCGAAUCGAACGAUGUUGUUUGACUGCGGCUGACGCCCGGGUUGAUGCGAACCGGUUUCUGGGUCGAGAGGAUUUCGGUUCCUCGCGUUUCGGGAAGCUCUUCUCGAGAAGCCAUGGCAGCUCCCCACCCUCUCUCGCCGCCCUCGGCGGCACCAGAAGCUUCUCAUUCGACAGCGCUUCCCAAAUCGUCCGGCUCUGCAGAUCGCGGGCGCUCCUCGACGCGUUCCGGCUCCUGAACGCCACGGACCCUUCCGGCGUGAGGAAUAAGCCCGCCCUCUACGGCUCCCUCUUGCAGACGUGCGCCGCCGCGGCCGUCUCGUUCGGCCCGGGUCUCCAAAUUCAUGCUCGCGUCAUCAAGUCCGGCCUCGACACCGAUGGGUUCGUGGGGAAAAAAAUAGUCGGUGUUAACGUCCUUUUUCUGUCCUGCUUUUUGGAGAACGGCCCACGGGGUCAGUGCCAGAUCCAGGCUUUUGUCCAGUAGGGAAGCCAGAUUCUUGUUCUUCGUCUUCCUCUUCUGCUGGUACGACAGCGACCGCGCACGAAAUCUCGUCUGUUCCUAUCAAAGUUUCAAUCUUUCGUGCGCAGCUUGGGUUCCGGUGAGCGCGAGAGAUGGCUAUCUGGAUUAAUAUUUGCUUCCAUGGCUUUUCGCAUUGAUGGCGGGGGCUCGAGGGCUUUUCUACGACUGGGAAGUGAAGCAAGAUAUGAUAGGCUCCUACAAGGAGCAGGUUAUCACCAUCAAUGGACGGCACCCCAGCCCGACCAUCCAGGCUCAUCAGGGAGACAGUUUUCGUCAGAGCUACCAACAGGUUGAGCGAGAAUGUCGCGAUCCAUUGGCACAACACCCAACAGAUUCAAAGUCUAGGGAGCGAUGGAACAGGGGAUGUCGUUCCAAGGCCCAUUUUGCCCCGGAAAAACUUUCACCUAUGUUUUCAUCGUGCAUCAGUACGACUCCUAUUACACAAUGCAAACGGUGGCUGGAGCCUGGACUGCAUGGGUUGAUCGAUGUUUUGCCUCCGUAGGGCAUGGCCAAGCCAUUCGCUCAAGAUAAUCACAAGAGCAUCAUCCUCAAUGACCGGUACUGCUAUUAUGAUUUGGCGACAGAGCCUGAGGUGAUUAAUUUAAUUUGAUUGCCUCAAUUAUGAAGAACUUAAACAACAGUUUUGCUCGUUUGUCGCCUUCGUUUCGUUCUCUUUUUGUUGCUUGGAUUGCAGUCCCUGCUGAUUCCCAGGACGGCUCGUAAUGCCAUCAAUCCUGAAAAUUUGCACUGGAGGGUCAUCCUUGGUAAAACGUAUCACCUCGAUAUUUUGAGUGUGACCACUCAUUGUACUCUCAGCUUUCAGAUUAAGGGUCACAACCUUACUGUUGUAGAAGCGGAUGGGCACUAUGUAGAGCCAUUUGUGAACCAAAGCCUGAUCAUCUACUCGGGUAAGACAUACUCUGUCAAGAUCAAAGCCAGUCAAGAUCCGUUGAGAAAUUACUUGAUUACGAGCGACAUUGUUGGCCAGAACACCACUGCCACAACCCCUCUCGGUCUGGCCGUGCUCAACUACUCCCCAUCCGCUGGCCCGAUUCGGAAUGGCGUCACACGGCAGUCAGUUCAGAGCCUGGGGAACAAAGCCUGCCAAGGUAAUAUAUGUGACAGGACUAAUGUCUUAGUUAGAGAGGCUGUUUUGAUCCCUUGUUUGAAAUUUGAGGUUAUGUUUCCCUAGAGGAUAUAAGUCCGUGGAUAUUUAUUAUCUUUCAAGCAAAAGUUCGCUCUUUUUCUUGAAUCUUUGAGAAGUAUGAUUAUUUUCUCCUGAGGAUAUAAAUUGUAUUUUUUUUUUGUUUAUUAGCUUUUUAACAGCAAUUAUUGAGGAACAUGCUGGUUAGUGUCUUAUUCAGUUGAAUUUGAUGUUCUAGUCGAGUGUUAAAUUGGCUUUCACUAUCCAAGUCAGAGGCGAUUCUAGUCAUGUCUCAGCAUUUUUCCUAUGAUGGCAUCGGAUAGUGUCUUGCAUGGUUAAUGACUGAUCGAGCAAUUUGUCAUAAGUCUCUUGGCUUUAGUCCCCUGCACACAAAAAGAUAAUGU